ensembl:lncRNA
GUGGAGAGGGGCGAGGUCAUGGUUAGAACGCUUGCUUACAUAUAUAGUAUGUCACAUGACUCUCAUAGUCAUACUAACCCCGAUAAUCGUCUUGUUGUACUACAACUCCUGUAAUCGUCUCAGCCAAGCAGCCUGGCAUAUUGUGUUCUGCAUAUAUCACACAAAGCCUGACUCCUUUUCCACACUUUUCCAGGCUUUUGACAGCUUUGUCUGCAAUAACAGCUCAAAUCAGGCAGAUGUUGGCUCAGUUUUGGUUUUCAGGGCCUCCCUUUUCAGUUUCAUCCCUCUCCCGCCUGUUUUCCACCCUCCCACCCCCCUCCGGAGCGCGGUAUCGGUGAGGAGCCGCGACAGGAGAAUCAGAGAGGGCCAUCUGAUCUAACUGACAGGUCCCUGGC